AAAUGCUACCAGCAAUGGCUCCCAGCAGUGGCUCUCAGCAAUGGCUCCCAGCUUCUGGCCCACCCAGAGCCAGGGAAGGAACCCAGGUAGGGUGGCAAACCAUUUCUUAAUGGUCUGCCCCAUUACCGAGGAACAGGGCCCCUUUAAUGCUGGUAUCAGAACCAUUACAUCGGGCUGUGGUGGUUAUGCUGCUCGGAGUAAUCUUUAAUAGAAUACAUUGUAGGACUUAGCUCAAGUUGCAGCUUAGGAGGUUCCCCCUGUCCAUUGUUGGCAAUAUAGGGGGGAGCUGCAUCUGACAGACCACAGGUAAGAAACCAAACAAUUAAAAAAUGGCUUGACACGUCAGACACCAUAAUCACAACAGGAAACAACAGUGGUUAUGGUCCUUGGAGCUCCUGUAAAUCUAAUAAAC